AACGAACGCUGGCGGCAUGCCUAACACAUGCAAGUCGAACGAAGGCUUCGGCCUUAGUGGCGCACGGGUGCGUAACGCGUGGGAACCUGCCCCCUCGGUUCGGAAUAACAGUUAGAAAUGACUGCUAAUACCGGAUGAUGACUUCGGUCCAAAGAUUUAUCGCCGAGGGAUGGGCCCGCGUAGGAUUAGCUAGUUGGUGGGGUAAAGGCCUACCAAGGCGACGAUCCUUAGCUGGUCUGAGAGGAUGAUCAGCCACACUGGGACUGAGACACGGCCCAGACUCCUACGGGAGGCAGCAGUGGGGAAUAUUGGACAAUGGGCGAAAGCCUGAUCCAGCAAUGCCGCGUGAGUGAUGAAGGCCUUAGGGUUGUAAAGCUCUUUUACCUAGGGAUGAUAAUGACAGUACCUGGAGAAUAAGCUCCGGCUAACUCCGUG
rnacentral:rRNA from 1 species